GCACAGAGUUAGCCGUCUCUUCCUCUAGUGAUACUCUCAAGCCGGCUCGCAGUUGACGCCCGGCUUUACUCUCACUUGACAGGAGUUUACAUUCCAAAGACCUUCAUCCUCCACGCGGCGUCGCAUCAUCAGCUUUCGCCCAUUGAGAAUGAUUCUCGA
rnacentral:rRNA from 1 species